GCGGCAAUCGUCUAGUGGUUUAGGAUCUCACCUUCCCAAGGUGAGGACGGGAGUUCGAACCUCCCUUGUCGCA
rnacentral:tRNA from 1 species